GGUAACGCGCCGGUAGAACGGACGUCCCUGAUGAGGACGAACAUGGUCGGUGACGGCCCGUUACUU
rnacentral:tRNA from 1 species